rnacentral:misc_RNA from 1 species
AUUUAGUGUAAAGAUUUGGGAUGUUCUUCCUUCUUUGAUGGAUGAUGAUUAUCAAGAAUUGCUGUUUUAUAUUGCAUGAUUUCUGCACUUGGAGAAAAAUAUUCUUGGAAAAGUUAAAUUCUAAAUUCUGAUCCGAAAGUUGAGUGUUUGUGUCAGAUCAGAUGCUUAAUUUCGGGCUUUAGGCAAAUCUUGAUAGCUGAACUAUUACAAUAUUAUUCUUGGUCAUUUGCCAUUGCUUCGUCAUGGUCAGAUCAUGAUGUUAUUGUUUUGAAUUGCUGGUUCCAUUCAGUUGAAUGAUAUCUUCGUUUCUUUUCUUUUCUUUAGCCCAUCCUUGUCUUGAGAGAAAUUGUGAUUUCAUAGUUAUUUAUUUAUUAUAGAUUUACAUGAUAAUUAACUCAAUUUCAUAUUUUUGUUGAUGUUU